AAGGGUUGGGUAUGUUUAAUAGCAUACUCAUUUGACGUUUAGCUGCAGAAAGGAAGCACCCGGGCUAAACUCCGUGCCAGCAGCCGCGGUAAUACGGAGGGUGCGAGCGUUUAAUCGGAAUUACUGGGCGUAAAAGCGCAUGCAGGUGGUUUGUUAAGUCAGAUGUGAAAGCCCGGGGCUCAACCUCGGAAUUGCAUUUGAAACUGGCAAACUAGAGUACUGUAGAGGGGGUAGAAUUUCAGGUGUAGCGGUGAAAUGCGUAGAGAUCUGAAGGAAUACCGGUGGCGAAGGCGGCCCCCUGGACAGAUACUGACACUCAGAUGCGAAAGCGUGGGGAGCAAACAGGAUUAGAUACCCUGGUAG
rnacentral:rRNA from 1 species